UUGCGCUCCGCUGGGAAAUAAGUAACCAUGUCUGUCAGAAUCGGCAAAGAAGUGAUCUUACAAGAAGAAUCCGUCUGGUACGGUGAGAGUCGGCCUGAAUACCGAAAAGAAUGUUUAACCUGGAUACCAAAAUAAAUGGUAACACAGGAAUAACCAUGGCCUAAAUGCCGCAUCCGCUGGGGAUUAUUUUUUUUUUUUGCUUUUUCUUGAACCCCAAAACUUCUUUGAUUUUUUUUUGCUUUUUCUUGAACCCCAAAAUUAAUAUUUCU
rnacentral:lncRNA from 1 species